AGUGAACGCUGGCGGUAGGCCUAACACAUGCAAGUCGAACGGCAGCACAGAGGAGCUUGCUCCUUGGGUGGCGAGUGGCGGACGGGUGAGGAAUACAUCGGAAUCUACUCUGUCGUGGGGGAUAACGUAGGGAAACUUACGCUAAUACCGCAUACGACCUACGGGUGAAAGCAGGGGAUCUUCGGACCUUGCGCGAUUGAAUGAGCCGAUGUCGGAUUAGCUAGUUGGCGGGGUAAAGGCCCACCAAGGCGACGAUCCGUAGCUGGUCUGAGAGGAUGAUCAGCCACACUGGAACUGAGACACGGUCCAGACUCCUACGGGAGGCAGCAGUGGGGAAUAUUGGGCAAUGGGCGCAAGCCUGAUCCAGCCAUACCGCGUGGGUGAAGAAGGCCUUCGGGUUGUAAAGCCCUUUUGUUGGAAAAGAAAUCCAUCUGGUUAAUACCCGGGUGGGAUGACGGUACCCAAAGAAUAAGCACCGGCUAACUUCGUGCCAGCAGCCGCAGUAA
rnacentral:rRNA from 1 species